rnacentral:lncRNA from 1 species
GCUAGGGAUCUUCAGGAUUUGCAUGAUAGAAUUGCCUGAUAGCCUAGGGUUAUUUCUUGUAUGGAAUUGACAUCAUUACUAUAGUUGGUUAUGUUGGAAUAGUGUCUAAGGCUGCAACUAUAUUAGGCAAGUAUUUGAUCCGGUUGUGCAUGGUCCUUUUGGGUUACCUUCACCAUAGCAACUUGAUAGGAUGAUUUAUUAAGAGAGAGUAAAUAUUAUUAAUAUAUUACGAGAAUAAUAUAAUGAAUAAUAUAUUUGUUAUUUGAUUAAUAUAAGUCAUAGAAUUAAUUAGAAUUAAUUUGGUGACUUAAAGAGAUUAAUUAAAUAAAGGGGUAUAAACUGUCAAUUGUUUGAUAGUUAAGCUUUAGACUGUAAAUCCAUUAGGAUAUGCUUUGGACGAAUUCUAAGAGUAUUAGGAUAGCCAAAAUCGUCCAAAGGCUUAUCUAUGGAAUGGAUUUGGAUAGCCUUCAGAGAAGAUUAUCCAAUUAGGGUUUAGGUUGUAACCCUUAAGGAGUCUACAAGUAUAAAUAGACCCCAUGGCAUAGGGAAUUCGAUACCUCUGAUUAAGUAAGAGAACCCUGGUCGAAAUUCCUCCCUCUCCUCUCUCCUAAAUCAUUCUUCUUGCUAUUGGUGUUUGUAAGCCAUUAGAGGAGUGACAUUUGUGACUCUAGAAGCUCCAAGACCUCAAGAUCAACAAGGAACUCAAAGGUAUGAUUCUAGAUCUGUUUCAAUGUUGUUAUUUAACCUAAUUAGUCAUUAGAAGACUUGGAUUCAAUGCAUGUUUAUUAGAAAGCCUAGAUCCAAGCAUUAGGGUUUUGCAUGCGCACAUAGGAAAGUUCUUAUGGCUAAAACCCAUCAGUGGUAUCAGAGCCUAGCUUGGUUUUCUUUAAAUUGUUGCUUGAUUAACUGAAACAAACCUGCAAAAUUCGAUUUUUAGGUUUCUGAGUCACUGACUCGGCGAGUCCCAAGGUGGACUCGGCGAGUAGGCCUGACUCGGCGAGUCCCCUUGUGCACUCGGCGAGUCCAGGCGUCAGGAAUGGCCAGAUUCGGGAUUUCUUUGUGUUUAUCUUAUGGAAACUUACCUUAAUCAUAAUAGAUCAACCUAAAUCCGAUUUUAUGAUAUAUAUGACUAUUAUCUUGAUCUAGAAAAAGAUAUUUAUCAACUAAUUAAAUAUUUAAUUUCCUUAUAUGAUAAUUAAUUAAUUAUUUUAAUUAUUUUGGUAAUUAUCUUUCAAAGAAAUCUUGAAUAAAAUCAAAUAUAGAUAAUUAGGAUAUUAAUUGUUAAUUGGAAUUAUUUGUUAUUUGAUCCUCCAUGUUUUAAAUGUUUAAAACCUACCCUCAUGUUUUGAAAUUUACUUUUGUGAUUAAAAGUUUUAAUUUAGACAACUUAAAUUUCAAACCCUAGAUUUUAAAAGUUUUAAAAUACAACCCUAUACUAAUAUGAUAUUACUAGAAUAAUAUAUAUAUGUAUAACUAAAUGCUAGUCUUACCGUUAGUAGGCCUCAUUCACGAAGCCGAUCUAUAAGGUGGGUAUAAGGUUGCGGCCUAUAAAAUGGCGCUUAAUGGGUGUACACUCACACCCACCGCUUGCUUGAUUGGUGGAGGGUCGUUAGCCGAACGGGUAGGAUAGGGCAACCUCAUCCUCUCAUUAAAAGUAUAAUAAGAAAUACAAAGUAACUACACAUAUUUUAAAAUUUCCCAAUCCUAGUUACUUUAGGAAAAGUGAAUUGAUGCAAUCCCAUGAAAUUACACUUUGCACCUUGCUAAGAUGUUAGUGGAGCGUGUGUGGUUUACCGGCACACUAAUUGGUUCUAAGCGAAGGUGGCAAAGGGUGAUUCAUUGUUUAUCAUAGUUCGAUGGAGCGUGUGUGGUUUACCGGCACAUCGAAUAGGUGAUCGUUACAAUGAAGGCACCAUGUGAAUUUGCAUGGUAAUUCACACCCGCUUUGUGAUCCUCGGUAUCCCAGUCACAAACAAGAGGGGCAUAUCGAGAUUUAAACAUGCCAUUGAAUAGUUUCAAUGAAUCUCAUCCGAACCUAGGAAUUCUCAAAAACACUUAGGACUAAUAGUUUAAGUUUUGUGAUGGAGAAUUAGUGAAUCGUCAUUCACUUACCUUCAAUUUAUUUGCAUGUUAGAUUACGGCAUCCCUUUUCUAGUAUGUAAAUGUUAUUGUUGGAUCCUAGCCCUAAUUUUCUUAUUGGGUGAUAAUUAGGGAUUCUUAUUCUAAUCUAUCUUUGUCCUUUUCUAAUUGUAGAUGUCGAACGCAAACAACGCUGCUGCUAGUUCUUUCACGUUGAUGAGCCUUUGCCAAAAGGUCACCUUCGAUGGAACGAACUUUAGCGAAUGGAUAAGAUACAUUCGCACCAUUGCUCGCUAUGAGGAUAAGGAGUAUGUCCUCGAUGAGAAGCUCGAGAAAAUCAACCCCGAAAUCGCUACUCCCGCCGAAAUCACCGCUUUUGAGACUCAUGAGCGAGAUGCAACGAAGGUACAUUGCAUCAUGAUCGCCACCAUGAACUCCGAAUUCCAAAAGUCCUACGAGGACAUGUACCCGUACGAGAUGCAUCAAGACUUAUUGGAGAGGUACCACCAAAACGCGAGACAAGAGAGGUACGAGAUUUUCACUAACAUGAUUUCCGCGAAGAUGGGUCAUGGAGAAUCUCUUACCGUGCACUUGCAAAAGAUGCAAAGGUAUGUCGACCGCCUUCGCAAGUUAAAUGUUGACUUCGGUGAAGACUUGGCGAUCGACAUGGUGCUUCACUCUUUGCCUCCGAUGUACAACCAAUUUAGGAUGACCUACCACAUGAACAAAGAAGAGGUCACCCUAAGCAAACUCCAAGGUCUCUUGAGGGUCGCUGAGAGCAACUUCAAGGACAAGUCUGUUGCACCUACUCCCAAUCCGCCCGCUGCUCCUGUCUUGGCUAUUGGUCAAGGAAAGGGAAAGAAGAGGAAAGCUUCAUCGAAGAACUAUCGCAAGGUGAAAGCCCGAGAUGGUGCCUCUUCUAGUGGGACCAAAGUUGAUCCCGCUAAGCCCUGCUCUAACCCGAAGGAGGCAGAGUGCCACCACUGCCACAAGAUAGGACAUUGGAAGAGAAGCUGCCCAGAUUACCUGCAAGCAAUCAAAGAAGGAAAGAUCAAGCCAUCUUUCGCAGGUAUAUACACAAUCAAAUCUAACGAUUCUAAUCAUGCUAUUUCUUGGGUUCUUGAUACCGGUUGUGGUUAUCACAUUUGUUCUAAUGUGCAGGGACUAAGAAGAAGUAGGGAUGUGGAGCAAGGAAGGAUCAAUCUAAUCAUGGGGAACAGAAGAUCGUCGCCUGUGACCAAGAUUGGAGUGUAUUCUUUAGUGCUUAGGAAUAGUUUAGUUUUAGAUUUGAACAAUUGUUGCUAUUCGCCAGAAAUGGCAAGAAACAUCAUUUCAUUUCAUGGUUUAUAUAGACAAGGAUUUAGAUUUUCUUUUAAUAAUGAGAAUGGUUCUAUUUUGGCUUAUCUAAAUGGUGUCUUUUACUUUGAAGCUAUACCAUGUAAUGGAAUAUAUGAAACCGUUAUGAUUGUUGAUAACUUAGGAAAUGAUGUUUUGAAUAUUGAUUCUUCCACUAGUAUGGAUAAAGCAUCCUUGUGGCAUUGUCGUCUUGGACAUGUCAACAAGAAACGCAUAGCCCAACUCCAAAAGGAUGGAGUGUUGGAGUCAUUCGACCUUAGGGAAGAUGACACAUGCGAGUCUUGUUUGCUUGGAAAGAUGACUAAGUCACCCUUCACGAGUACAUGUGAAAGGGGCGAGGGUCUAUUGGACCUAAUACAUACCGAUGUAUGUGGACCGUUUAGAUCAACCACGAAGGAUGGGAACCGCUUCUAUGUGACUUUUACCGAUGACUAUAGUAGAUAUGGGUAUAUCUACUUAAUCAAGCAAAAGUCAGACACCUUUGAAAAGUUCAAAGAGUUCAAGAAUGAAGUGGAGAAUCAAUUGGGCAGGAAAAUCAAGAUGCUUCGAUCCGAUCGAGGAGGAGAGUACCUAAGUCUUGAAUUCCACGAUUAUCUCAAGGAGUGUGGAAUAGUUUCACAAUUGACGCCUCCUAGGACACCGCAGUUGAAUGGUGUGGCAGAAAGGCGUAAUCGAACCUUAUUGGAUAUGGUUCGCUCUAUGAUGAGUCGUGCUUCACUACCAAUCUCUUUUUGGGGGUAUGCCUUAGAGACUGCCGCCCAUAUCCUUAACCGAGUCCCUACUAAGAAGGUUGCCAAAACACCUCACGAGAUGUGGACAGGGAAAGCUCCCUCGUUGGCACAUAUCAAGGUUUGGGGUUGCGAGGCUUUCGUAAGACGAGAUACUCACGACAAGCUUGAACCUCGAAGUGAGCGAUGUAUUUUCAUCGGCUACCCGCAGACAUCCUUUGGAUAUCUCUUCUAUAGACCGAAGGACAAUGUUGUCUUCGUUGCGAGGAGAGGAGUUUUCCGAGAGCGAGAACUCAUAAGCCAAGGAGACAGUGGGAGGCAAAUCGAACUUGAAGAGAUUCAAGAGUCGAUAGAUGAAGGAACCUCUACCGCUGGCACUCAACCCGAGGAGGAAACUCCGGUUGAACCGAUUGACGAAUCCUUACCUCUUAGACGUUCCGAUAGAGUUAGAGUUCAUCCCCAGUUUUAUGGCUUUCAUAUUACUACCGAAGGGGACACGUAUAUUAGUGAUGGUACACUAGUAAAUCUUGAUGAACCUAAUAGCUAUAAGGAAGCCAUGGCAGGCCCGGAGUCUGCAAAAUGGAAAGAGGCAAUGGAUAGCGAGAUCCAAUCCAUGUAUGAUAACCAAGUUUGGAAUUUGGUUGAUUAUGUGCCCGGACGUAAGACCGUUGGGUGCAAAUGGAUCUUCAAGAAGAAGACCGACGUGGAUGGAAACGUACACACAUAUAAAGCGCGAUUGGUUGCGAAGGGCUUUACUCAAACUCCCGGAGUUGACUAUGAUGAGACCUUCUCACCAGUUGCGAAGAUUAAAUCUAUUAGAGUGAUGCUAGCUAUUGCCGCAUUUCAUGAUUAUGAGAUUUGGCAAAUGGAUGUCAAGACCGCUUUCCUUAACGGAAAGUUGGCUGAGGAUGUUUACAUGGCUCAGCCAGAGGGGUUUGUGGAUCCGAAGCAUCCGAAUAGAGUGUGUAAGCUUGAGAAGUCCAUUUAUGGACUUAAGCAAGCGUCUCGCAGAUGGAAUCUUUGCUUCGAUGAGAAAGUCAAAGAGUUUGGAUUUGUACGAAGCGAAGACGAAUCUUGUGUAUAUGUCAAAGCCAGUGGGAGUAUAGUAAGCUUCCUCGUUCUAUAUGUCGAUGACAUAUUACUCAUAGGAAACGACAUCCCGACUCUGCAGGAGGUUAAGUCCUGGCUCGGGAAGUGCUUCGCUAUGAAGGACCUCGGAGAGGCUUCUUACAUUUUGGGAAUAAGGAUAGUAAGAGAAAGAAGUAAGAGACUAAUUGGACUUAGUCAGAAUACUUACUUAGAGAAGGUACUAAAACGUUUUAGUAUGGAAAACUCAAAGAAGGGAGAACUACCGAUACAAAGUAAUGCCAAAUUGAGUAAGACUCAAAGUCCGAGUACCGAAGCUGAGAUAGCAGAAAUGAGCCGAGUACCAUACGCUUCCGCAGUUGGCUCAAUCAUGUACGCUAUGACUUGUACUCGCCCUGAUGUAGCCUUCGCUUUGAGCAUGGUUAGCAGAUAUCAAGGGAAUCCUGGCAAAGCACAUUGGAUUGCGGUGAAGAAUAUCCUUAAGUACCUUCGGAGGACGAAGGAAUGGUUCUUAGUCCUCGGAGGGAGUGAUGACUUGAAGGUGCGAGGGUAUAGUGACGCCAGUUUUCAGACCGACAGGGACAACUACCGUUCGCAGUCGGGCUGGGUCUUUACCCUAAAUGGAGGAGCAGUGACAUGGAAGAGUUCCAAGCAGGAAACCGUAGCUGAUUCAACGUGCGAAUCAGAGUACAUUGCAGCGAGCGAAGCGUCGAAGGAGGCAAUAUGGCUAAAGAACUUCAUCGGUGAUCUUGGAGUUGUACCUGCCAUAAAGGAGCCCAUGGAGAUUUUCUGUGAUAACGAAGGAGCGGUUGCCUUGACCAAGGAACCGAGGGAUCAUGGUAGAUCAAGACAUAUCGACAGAAAAUAUCACUUCAUCAGACAUCGUGUAGAAGAAGGACAACUCGUAGUGAAGAGGAUAUCAUCAGAAGAUAACCCAGCAGAUCCGCUUACGAAGGGACUGAGUAGGGUUAAGCACUUGCAGCAUGCUAGGAGUAUUGGGCUGAAGGAUGAUAUUAGCAUAGAUUAGAUAGUAUUAGAAACGUGUAAUAGAUAAAUGUAAUUAACAUUUGAUGAUUAAAUAAAGGAGUUUUAUUUAUGAGUAAUGUUACUAUCUUAUGUUAAUUGUUUAGCUAUUGUUUCACUUUGCAUGUUUUGACUUCCAGAAUAAUUGAGUUUAUUAGGAAUAAUCGAAUUGUUCAAAUGGUCCACAAUCGUUCAUAUGUUGGGAGUAGAUAUGAAUGAAGAUUGUCAUGAAUUGGUGUGUAGAAUGUCUAAAUGGUGUUAGACAUAGCAAAGGAUUGCUGCAACGUUCAUGAGUGCUUAUGAACUAGUUUUGAGCAUUGGAAUAAACCCGCGCUUGCUGGAAUCACCUUAUGGAAUACGAUAUAAAAGGUGAUCGCAAGACGAUAAUAUCAUAUAGUCUUAAAACCUAGAUAUAUGGUUUAUUAUUUGUUAAUUGAUUGUACAUUGAUAAUACGAAAACGCAUCAGUAACUUGGUGUUAUAAAACGUAUUGUUGUGUAUAGUUGGUUAAUGAAUAAGUAAAUGCAUAUAAGUCGAAGUUUAUCUGUAACUUUUAUCUAAGAAGGUAAAAGCGAUAUCUCGGCCGCUCGAUGAUUUGAUUUGACUUAUGUGCCGGGCCCGGUCAGAACUGAAUUGAUGUGUUCGAUUAAGUUCUAUGUCAAAUAAAUCAGAGAUCGAGAAACCUAAAUGCUUGACUAACCAUUCCAUAGGAUUGUCAGCAUGAUAUCUAACAGAGGACUGUACGUUCCCUUAUCUAAAGGACAAGAUUGAUUAGAUCAGAGUUGACAGCGUCUUUGAGAGCUACGAUUGCAAACCGAAUUGUACUUGUAUAGUUACUAGACUUAUCCAAGUGGGAGACUGUUGGAAUAGUGUCUAAGGCUGUAACUAUAUUAGGCAAGUAUUUGAUCCGGUUGUGCAUGGUCCUUUUGGGUUGCCUUCACCAUAGCAACUUGAUAGGAUGAUUUAUUAAGAGAGAGUAAAUAUUAUUAAUAUAUUAUGAGAAUAAUAUAAUGAAUAAUAUAUUUGUUAUUUGAUUAAUAUAAGUCAUAGAAUUAAUUAGAAUUAAUUUGGUGACUUAAAGAGAUUAAUUAAAUAAAGGGGUAUAAACUGUCAAUUGUUUGAUAGUUAAGCUUUAGACUGUAAAUCCAUUUGGAUAUGCUAUGGACGAAUUCUAAGAGGAUUAGGAUAGCUAAAAUCGUCCAUUAGAGUUAUCUAGGAAUGGAUUUGGAUAGCCUUAAGAGAAGAUUAUCCAAUUAGGGUUUAGGUUGUAACCCUUAAGGAGUCUACAAGUAUAAAUAGACCCCAUGGCAUAGGGAAUUCGAUACCUCUUAUAAAGUAAGAGAACCCUGGCCGAAUUCCUUCCCUCUCCUCUCUCCUAAAUCAUUCUUCUUGCUAUUGGUGUUUGUAAGCCAUUAGAGGAGUGACAUUUGUGACUCUAGAAGCUCCAAGACCUCAAGAUCAACAAGGAACUCAAAGGUAUGAUUCUAGAUCUAUUUCAAUGUUGUUAUUUAACCUAAUUAGUAAUAAGAAGUCUUGGAUUCAAAGCAUGUUUAUUAGAAAGCCUAGAUCCAAGCAAUAGGGUUUUGCAUGCGCACAUAGGAAAGUUCUUAUGGCUAAAACCCAUCAGGUUAGUGUAUACAUCAUAGUUGUACGCAACUAAAUUUU